UGGGGAACUGGAGAAAUACUGGAUAUUAGGUGAUGCCUGCAAUGGUUUGCCUUUUAAAUGGUUUUUCGCCUAAGGAUAGAUCUGCGGCUGAUUAGGUCGUUGGUGGGGUAAUGGCCCACCAAGCCGAUGAUCGGUACGGGUUGUGAGAGCAAGAGCCCGGAGAUGGAACCUGAGACAAGGUUCCAGACCCUACGGGGUGCAGCAGGCGCGAAACCUUCCCAAUGUACGCAAGUGCGACGAGGGGAUCCCAAGUGUCAUUCUUAACGGGAUGGCUUUUCAUUAGUGUAAAAAGCUUUUAAAAUAAGAGCUGGGCAAGACCGGUGCCAGCCGCCGCGGUAACACCGGCAGCUCGAGUGGUAGCUGUUUUUAUUGGGCCUAAAGCGUUCGUAGCCGGUUUGAUAAGUCUUUGGGGAAAGCUUGUAGCUUAACUAUAGGAAUUGCUGGAGAUACUAUCAGACUUGAAGUCGGGAGAGGUUAGAGGUACUACCGGGGUAGGGGUGAAAUCCUAUAAUCCUGGGAGGACCACCUGUGGCGAAGG
rnacentral:rRNA from 1 species